GACGAACGCUGGCGGCGUGCUUAACACAUGCAAGUCGAGCGGUAAGGCCCUUUCGGGGGUACACGAGCGGCGAACGGGUGAGUAACACGUGGGUGACCUGCCCUCAGCUCUGGGAUAAGCCUGGGAAACUGGGUCUAAUACUGGAUAUGACUCCACGGUGCAUGUCGUGGGGUGGAAAGCCUUGUGCGGCUGAGGAUGGGCCCGCGGCCUAUCAGCUUGUUGGUGGGGUGANGGCCUACCAAGGCGACGACGGGUAGCCGGCCUGAGAGGGCGACCGGCCACACUGGGACUGAGACACGGCCCAGACUCCUACGGGAGGCAGGCAGUGGGGAAUAUUGGACAAUGGGCGCAAGCCUGAUCCAGCCAUGCCGCGUGAGUGGUGAAGGCC
rnacentral:rRNA from 1 species